AUUGAACGCUGGCGGCAUGCCUUACACAUGCAAGUCGAACGGUAACAGGGUGAUUGCACCGCUGACGAGUGGCGAACGGGUGAGUAAUGCAUCGGAACGUACCCGGAAGUGGGGGAUAACGUAGCGAAAGUUACGCUAAUACCGCAUAUUCUGUGAGCAGGAAAGAGGGGGAUCGCAAGACCUCUCGCUUUCGGAGCGGCCGAUGUCGGAUUAGCUAGUUGGUGGGGUAAAAGCCUACCAAGGCGACGAUCCGUAGCUGGUCUUAGAGGAUGAUCAGCCACACUGGGACUGAGACACGGCCCAGACUCCUACGGGAGGCAGCAGUGGGGAAUUUUGGACAAUGGGGGCAACCCUGAUCCAGCCAUGCCGCGUGAGUGAAGAAGGCCUUCGGGUUGUAAAGCUCUUUCGGACAGAAAGAAAACGCACGGUUUAAUACAUCGUGUGGAUGACGGUACUGUCAUAAGAAGCACCGGCUAACUACGUGCCAGCCGCCGCGGUAA
rnacentral:rRNA from 1 species